UACGGAGGAUCCGAGCGUUAUCCGGAUUUAUUGGGUUUAAAGGGAGCGUAGGCGGCCCGUUAAGUCAGGGGUGAAAGACGGUGGCUCAACCAUAGAAUUGCCAUUGAUACUGUUGUUCUUGAAUACUUAUGAAGUGGUUGGAAUAUGUAGUGUAGCGGUGAAAUGCAUAGAUAUUACAUAGAACACCGAUUGCGAAGGCAGAUCACUAAUAAGUCAUUGACGCUGAUGGACGAAAGCGUAGGUAGCGAACAGG
rnacentral:rRNA from 1 species